UACAGAGGGUGCGAGCGUUAAUCGGAAUUACUGGGCGUAAAGCGCGCGUAGGCGGCUUUGCAAGUCGAGUGUGAAAUCCCCAGGCUUAACCUGGGAACUGCAUUCGAGACUGCAUAGCUAGAGUAUGGGAGAGGGAAGUGGAAUUUCAGGUGUAGCGGUGAAAUGCGUAGAUAUCUGAAGGAACAUCAGUGGCGAAAGCGACUUCCUGGACCAAUACUGACGCUCAUGUGCGAAAGCGUGGGGAGCAGACAGG
rnacentral:rRNA from 1 species